rnacentral:rRNA from 1 species
GACGAACGCUGGCGGCGCGCUUAACACAUGCAAGUCGAGCGAUGAAAUUUCGACAGAUCCCUUCGGGGUGAAGAUGAAAUGGAUUAGCGGCGGACGGGUGAGUAACACGUGAGUAACCUGCCUUUGACAUUGGGAUAGCCUCGGGAAACUGGGAUUAAUACCAAAUGACACUAACUGAUCACAUGAUCAAUUAGUCAAAGAAAUUCGGUCAAAGAUGGACUCGCGGCUGAUUAGCUAGUUGGUGAGGUAACGGCCCACCAAGGCGACGAUCAGUAGCCGGCCUGAGGGGGUGAUCGGCCACAUUGGAACUGAGACACGGUCCAAACUCCUACGGGAGGCAGCAGUGGGGAAUAUUGCACAAUGGGGGAAACCCUGAUGCAGCGACGCCGCGUGAGCGAAGAAGGCCUUCGGGUCGUAAAGCUCUUUUAUGAGGGAAGAUAAUGACGGUACCUCAAGAAAAAGCCCCGGCUAACUACGUG